GUAGGGAAUUUUCCACAAUGGGCGAAAGCCUGAUGGAGCAACGCCGCGUGCAGGAUGAAGGCCUUCGGGUCGUAAACUGCUUUUCUCUGUGACGAUUAUGACGGUAACAGAGGAAUAAGGGUCGGCUAACUACGUGCCAGCAGCCGCGGUCAUACGUAGGACCCAAGCGUUAUCCGGAUUAACUGGGCGUAAAGAGUUGCGUAGGUGGCAAUGUAAGCGGAGUGUGAAAUCGUGUGGCUCAACCAUACGGCUAUGCUCUGAACUGCAUUUGCUAGAGAAUGAGAGAGGUAGCUGGAAUUCCCUGUGUAGGAGUGAAAUCCGUAGAUAUAGGGAGGAACACCGAUGGCGUAGGCAGGCUACUGGCUCAUUUCUGACACUAAGGCACGAAAGCGUGGGGAGCAAACGGGAUUAGAAACCCUAGUAGUCC
rnacentral:rRNA from 1 species